UACGUAGGUGGCAAGCGUUGUCCGGAAUUAUUGGGCGUAAAGCGCGCGCAGGCGGUCCUUUAAGUCUGAUGUGAAAGCCCACGGCUCAACCGUGGAGGGUCAUUGGAAACUGGGGGACUUGAGUGCAGAAGAGGAAAGCGGAAUUCCACGUGUAGCGGUGAAAUGCGUAGUGAUGUGGAGGAACACCGGUGGCGAAGGCGGCCAUCUGGACGGUAACUGACGCUGAGACGCGAAAGCGUGGGGAGCAAACAGG
rnacentral:rRNA from 1 species